AAGGUAGGCGUCUCCUUCGGGCGACGCUGUUAUAGACCGCCCUGGUGAGCUGCUGCGGGACCGAGGGACGGCCGCGUUCUUCGAGGCCACCCGGCUUUCUCGGGGAGUUCGACUGGCAGAGACUGGGCAACCGUGUCUGCCGACCGCUUUCCGGGACCGGACCGGGCUGGCCGGGAGCGCUGAGGGUCGGUGGCGAAUCUGUCGGCAUUGCACCCGACCCGUCUUGAAACACGGACCAAGGAGUCUAACAUGCGCGCGAGUCAUUGGGUUGUACGAAACCCAAAGGCGCAGUGAAAGCGAGGGUCGCCCCGGGCUGACCCAGGUGGGAUCUUUCCGUUCUUCGGAGCGGGGAGCGCACCACCGGCCCGUCCCGUCCGCGUUGUCGGUGGGGCGGAGCAGGAGCGUGCACGCUGGGACCCGAAAGAUGGUGAACUAUGCCUGAGUAGAACGAAGCCAGAGGAA
rnacentral:rRNA from 1 species